rnacentral:tRNA from 3 species
UCCUCCUUAGCUCAGUUGGUUAGAGCAUCUGACUGUUAAUCAGAGGGUCCAAGGUUCGAGUCCUUGAGGAGGAG